rnacentral:rRNA from 1 species
UACGGAGGAUUCGAGCGUUAUCCGGAUUUAUUGGGUUUAAAGGGUGCGUAGGCGGUCGGAUAAGUUAGAGGUGAAAUCCCGGGGCUCAACUUCGGAAUUGCCUCUGAUACUGUUCGGCUAGAGAGUAGUUGCGGUAGGCGGAAUGUAUGGUGUAGCGGUGAAAUGCUUAGAGAUCAUACAGAACACCGAUUGCGAAGGCAGCUUACCAAGCUACUUCUGACGUUGAGGCGCGAAAGCGUGGGGAGCAAACAGG